GUAUUUAUGCGUUUAUAGCAGGUUUACAUUCUUAACUUAUAGUGUGUAUAAAAGAAACGAGACGCUGGGAAAAAAAAGACUAAUCGAGACCUUUUACAGUCCUUUCGCCCCCCAUUGUCCCGCAUGGUUCACAGGUGUGUGGAUGAGUGAAAGAGCGUGCACAUGCCCCGAAAGGCCAGCGACAACUCAGUGUUACUCGUUAAUGAUCCUUCCGCAGGUUCACCUACGGAAA
rnacentral:misc_RNA from 1 species